AGAGUUUGAUCAUGGCUCAGAUUGAACGCUGGCGGAAUGCUUUACACAUGCAAGUCGAACGGCAGCACGGGUGCUUGCACCUGGUGGCGAGUGGCGAACGGGUGAGUAAUGCACCGAACGUAUCCAAUAAUGGGGGAUAACGCACCGAAAGGUGUGCUAAUACCGCAUACGCCCUGAGGGGGAAAGCGGGGGAUCGUAAGACCUCGCGUUAAUGGAGCGGCCGAUGCCGGAUUAGCUAGUUGGUGAGGUAAAGGCUCACCAAGGCGACGAUCCGUAGCUGGUCUGAGAGGACGACCAGCCACACUGGAACUGAGACACGGUCCAGACUCCUACGGGAGGCAGCAGUGGGGAAUUUUGGACAAUGGGCGCAAGCCUGAUCCAGCCAUUCCGCGUGAGUGAAGAAGGCCUUCGGGUUGUAAAGCUCUUUCGCAAGGAAAGAAAACUUAUCUCCUAAUACGAGGUGAGGUUGACGGUACCUUGAUAAGAAGCACCGGCUAACUACGUG
rnacentral:rRNA from 1 species